rnacentral:rRNA from 1 species
ACAUUACCUUCGGAGAAAGCCACGACUAACUAUGUGCCAGCAGUCGCGGUAAGACAUAGGUGGCGAACGUUAUCCGGAUUUAUUGGGCGUAAAGGAUGCGUAGAUGGUGGAAUAAGUUAUUGGUCGAGGUCAAGCUCAACUUGGCGGAAGCUGAUAAUACUGUUCUACUUGAGGACAGGAGAGGUUGGCGGAAUUCUGUGUGGAGCGGUGAAAUGCGUUGAUCUACAGAGGAACACCAAAAGAGGCGAAGGCAGUCAACUAUUCUGUUCCUGACAUUGAGGCAUGAAAGCGUGGGGAGCAAACCGGAUUAGAUACCCGGGUAGUCCACGCCCUAAACGAUGAGCAUUAGAUAUUGGGCAUUUUGCUUAGUGUCGCAGCUAACGCUUUAAAUGCUCCGCCUGGGUACUACGGUCGCAAGGCUAAAACUCAAAGGAAUUGACGGGGACCCGCACAAGCGGUGGAGCAUGUGGUUUAAUUCGAUACAACGCGCAGAACCUUACCAAGGUUUGACAUGGAGGGCAAAGUUGAAGAAACUCAACGGAGGUUAUCCCGACACAGGUGGUGCAUGGUCGUCGUCAGUUCGUGCUGUGAAGCGUAUGCUUAAGUGCUAGAACGAACGCAACCCUCAUAUUUAGUUGCUAUCAUUUAGUUGAGAACUCUAAAUAGACUGCUAAGAUAACUUAGAGGAAGGAGAGGAUGACGUCUGAUCAUCAUGCCCCUUAUGCCUUGGGCUACACACGUGCUACAAUGGUUAGGACAAAGAGUUGCUAACCUGUAAAGGAAAGCCAAUCUCAAAAAACUAACCUUAGUUCGGAUUGAGGUCUGCAACUCGACCUCAUGAAGUAGGAAUCGCUAGUAAUCGUGAAUCAGCAAUGUCACGGUGAAUACGUUCUCGAGUCUUGUACACACCGCCCGUCAAAUCACGAAAGUCGGUAAUGCCUGAAACCAACUAACUAACCCGCAAGGGAGGUAGUUGACAAGGGUAGGAUUGGCAAUUGGGGUUAAGUCGUAACAA